rnacentral:rRNA from 1 species
AGUGAACGCUGGCGGUAGGCCUAACACAUGCAAGUCGAACGGCAGCACAGUAAGAGCUUGCUCUUACGGGUGGCGAGUGGCGGACGGGUGAGGAAUACAUCGGAAUCUACUUUUUCGUGGGGGAUAACGUAGGGAAACUUACGCUAAUACCGCAUACGACCUACGGGUGAAAGCAGGGGAUCUUCGGACCUUGCGCGAUUGAAUGAGCCGAUGUCGGAUUAGCUAGUUGGCGGGGUAAAGGCCCACCAAGGCGACGAUCCGUAGCUGGUCUGAGAGGAUGAUCAGCCACACUGGGACUGAGACACGGUCCAGACUCCUACGGGAGGCAGCAGUGGGGAAUAUUGGACAAUGGGCGCAAGCCUGAUCCAGCAAUACCGCGUGGGUGAAGAAGGCCUUCGGGUUGUAAAGCCCUUUUGUUGGGAAAGAAAAGCAGCAGGUUAAUACCCCGCUGUUCUGACGGUACCCAAAGAAUAAGCACCGGCUAAGUUCGUG